AUUUUGAAAGUCUGAUAUUCAGUAUGGUGUGAUUUUAGGCUACUAAAACUAACAUGAAAAUCUUCUGACAUCUCAAUUUUAAUUUUAAUUCUGUGAUUUUACAGGGUGAGAAGAUAACAGAGGACAGUGUGGGAGUUAAUUUCCCUGAUGAGCUGUACAGACUUGCAAGAAAGUCACAGCCUGAGAGGAUCAUCUGGUUCAUAGCCCAGGUGCUGGACGAGGUGUCGCUCCUGCUGGACGAGAAUGUGACCGCCGUGGCCUGGGACCAGAAGAAGCUGAAGGACUUCAUGAGCACCCUGGACACACAACUGGUGGCAACUCAGUCAUGUGUUAGUAAGACUAAAGGGAAUAAGAGACUGCACCUGUAUUUCAAGAAACUGAGAAAUGAAACACUGGGGAAAAUGG